rnacentral:lncRNA from 1 species
GGCUCCGACCCAGGUCGUCGCAGCAGCACAGGAAGCUGUAACACAGCAGCCGCCGCCUAGCGGUAGACUGCUCCCCGGGGAGCUGUCCAGGGUACCAGAGGGUCGCCGAGGGCUGAGUGAGGAGGGCUUCUUCACACAGAGACACUAGGAGGAGGAAACAGAGUACAAGGAGAACGUAUCCAGGAGCAAUUCCACUUCGAAUGAUUCCUAAGUGAAUGCCUACAGGACAGUUCUCGGUGACCAUGUCCAGAACAGGCAUAAGUGACGAUCCCCAGUACUUCCCUGAGGGACCACACUGGUACCUUGGAUCAGAACCCUGCAUCAGAACAGGCCUAAAUGGCCAUGGCUAAGAACACGGCUGAGUUGUCCUUCAACAGCAAUGCCAAUGCCAAUUCACCAUGUCCGAGUGUUCACAAGGCUCCUCUCCUGGAUGUAAGCUAAUUUGUCUAUGUCUCUUCUAAAAUCUCACACCUGGGACUGCGCGAGGAAUUUCAGAUAUGGAUUGAAAAGUUCAACAGGACUCUCACCUCUCUUUUGUGUACUUUGGGCAAGUGGACCCCCUUUAAGCCUCAGGUUCCUCAGCUGUAAAAUGGGACGCUAUGAUUCACCUUAAAAGUCUCUCAAAGUUUAGAUGUUGCAUGAUUCUAUGAUUCCAUUACCCAAAGCAUGAACCACUCACUUGGCAUCAUGUAAUUUCCACAGUUGAUCACAAUUUAAUUAAUUCCUCAUUCUAAUUGUUAAUAAAAAUGUCAAAACAAAUAUACUUAAAGGAGUUCUUCUUCUUCUUUUGGGUGAGGGGAAGUGUCUCACUCUGUUGACCAUGCUGGCAUGCAGUAGUGCAAUCAUAGCUCAUGCUGCAGCCUCCACUUCCUGGGCUCAAGGGAUCCUCCUGCCUCAGCCUCCUGAGUAGCUAGGACUACAGGCAUGUGCCACCACACCUAGCUAGUUUUUUAAUUUUUUGUAGAGAUGAAGUCUUACUGUGUUG